AACCCUCGUUAGAGACCUUCGUCUGUCCAAAUGCUUGUGGACGUCGUUAUAAGUAUAAAACUGGACUUUACAAACAUCUAAAAUACGAAUGUGGACGAGAGAAACAAUUCAAAUGCAUGCAGUGUGGUAAAACUUUUGCCCACAAGUGUACUUUAAAGUCUCAUCUUAUCAUUGUUCAUCAUGUAUUGCAAACGUAAAUUAAUUUUAGACCAAUUCGCUACUAAAAUAUUCGUUUGUCCGAAUGGUUGCGGUCGUCAUUAUAAAUAUAAAGAAAAUGUACAAAGACAUUUGAACUACGAAUGUGGAAAAGAAAAACAAUUCAAAUGUACCGAAUGCUAUAAAGCCUUUCGCCAUAGAAAUCAAAUGAAAACUCAUCAAAUUAUGGUUCACAAAAUGAUUAUAUAAAAUUCGUCUUCGUCUUCGUCUUCGUCGCGCUUAAAAUAAUCCUAAUAAUAUUAGAUGUUCGAGUUUUUUCGUUUUUUUAAUUUUUUAUGUAACUCAUUUCAUGUUGUUUGCGAUGUGAAAAUUUUUUGUAAUGAAAUAAACGUUUUUCAGUUCCUGA